rnacentral:rRNA from 1 species
CCGGGGGGACCACCCCCCAAGCCUAAAUACUACCUAGUGACCGAUAGCGCAUAGUACUGUGAAGGAAAGGUGAAAAGAACCCCGGGAGGGGAGUGAAAGAGAACCUGAAACCCUAUGUUUACAAGCAGUGGAAGCACUACGAGUGCGACCGCGUACUUUUUGUAGAACGGUCCAGCGAGUUACGCAUACUGGCAAGGUUAAGAACUUAAGGUUCGAAGCCGAAGGGAAACCAAGUCUUAAUAGGGCGAAUCAGUCAGUGUGAGUAGACCCGAAACCGGGUGACCUAUCCAUGGGCAGGUUGAAGUUACCGUAAAAGGUAAUGGAGGACCGAACGCACAUCUGUUGAAAAAGGUGGCGAUGACCUGUGGAUAGCGGAGAAAUUCCAAUCGAACCCGGAGAUAGCUGGUUCUCCUCGAAAUAGCUUUAGGGCUAGCCUUGAUGGAGUCUAACGGAGGUAGAGCACUGAAUUGUCUAGGGGGCUUCACAGCUUACCGAAACAUAUCAAACUCCGAAUGCCGUAUAGAUGCUCAUCAGGAGUCAGACUAUGGGAGAUAAGUUCCAUAGUCAAAAGGGAAACAGCCCAGACCACCAGCUAAGGUCCCAAAGUGCGUGUUAAGUGGGAAAGGAUGUGAGAUUUCACAGACAACUAGGAUGUUGGCUUAGAAGCAGCCACACAUUUAAAGAGUGCGUAAUAGCUCACUAGUCGAGAGAUCUUGCGCCGAAAAUGUCCGGGGCUAAAACACGACACCGAAGCUGUGGAUUGUAUACAAAGUAUACAGUGGUAGAGGAGCAAUCUUAACAGGACGAAGCCAUAGUGGAAACAAUGGUGGACAGUUAAGAAGAGAGAAUGCUGGAAUGAGUAGCGAGAGAGAAGUGAGAAUCUUCUCGGCCGAAUAUCUAAGGUUUCCAAAGUAAAGCUGAUCUGCUUUGGGUAAGUCGGGACCUAAGGUGAGGGCGAAAGCCGUAGCCGAUGGACAACUAGUUGAAAUUCUAGUACUACAUAUAAACAGAACUGUGGGGACGCGGACAGAUAAGGAAAUCUGGGAAUGGAAAAACCAGUGUAAGCGUAAAGGUUGUAACUUAGGCAAAUCCGGGUUACUGAGACUGAAACGUGAUACGGACCGAAAUAAAAGUAGGGAAGUUCCUGACUCUAUGCCGCCAAGAAAAGCCGCUAUUGUUUUAUAUGUACCCGUACCGUAAACCGACACAGGUGGAUGAGGAGAGAAUCCUAAGGCCGACGGGAGAAGCGUUGUUAAGGAACUCGGCAAAAUGACUCCGUAACUUCGGGAGAAGGAGUGCCAGAGCAAUCUGGCCGCAGUGAAUAGGCCCAAGCGACUGUUUAGCAAAAACACAGGUCUCUGCAAAACCGAAAGGUGAAGUAUAGGGGCUGACGCCUGCCCGGUGCUGGAAGGUUAAGGGGAGUGGUUAGGACUAGAUCCGAAGCUAUGAACUUAAGCCCCAGUAAACGGCGGCCGUAACUAUAACGGUCCUAAGGUAGCGAAAUUCCUUGUCGGGUAAGUUCCGACCCGCA